UUGAAAGGGAAACGAUUGAAGUCAGUCGUACCGACGAGAAAUCAACUUAUCGUGUGCGAACUUGUGGGCGUGCGUGAGUUUCGGCCUCGCUGUUUGCAUGUUUGUGCGCUUUGGGUGUACUUUUUCGUAUGGUAGGCCAACGUCAGUUUCGAUUAUCAUAAAAUGACCGGCGGAAUGUAGCUUCGACUUCGGUUGAAGUGUUAUAGCCUCUGGUAGAUGUGGUGAUUGGGACUGAGGAUUGCAACGAAUACCCUUUGGGCUAUCCGUCUGGCCUCUGAAAGUUGCUCAGGUGCCGAAAGCGUGCUUACGGUCAUCUAAGAUAACGUUCAACAGGUUAGAACGUGAUUACAUUCGUUAAGGAUGUUGACGUA
rnacentral:rRNA from 1 species